GACGAACGCUGGCGGCGUGCUUAACACAUGCAAGUCGUACGGUAAGGCCCUUUCGGGGGUACACGAGUGGCGAACGGGUGAGUAACACGUGAGUAACCUGCCCACAACUUUGGGAUAACGCUAGGAAACUGGUGCUAAUACUGGAUAUGUGCUCCUGCUGCAUGGAGGGGGUUGGAAAGCUCCGGCGGUUGUGGAUGGACUCGCGGCCUAUCAGCUUGUUGGUGGGGUAGUGGCCUACCAAGGCGGCGACGGGUAGCCGGCCUGAGAGGGUGACCGGCCACAUUGGGACUGAGAUACGGCCCAGACUCCUACGGGAGGCAGCAGUGGGGAAUAUUGCACAAUGGGCGCAAGCCUGAUGCAGCAACGCCGCGUGCGGGAUGACGGCCUUCGGGUUGUAAACCGAUUUCAGCAGGGACGAAGCUUUUUGUGACGGUACCUGCAGAAGAAGCACCGGCUAACUACGUG
rnacentral:rRNA from 1 species